AUUGAACGCUGGCGGCAGGCCUAACACAUGCAAGUCGAGCGAGCGGCGGACGGGUGAGUAAUGUCUGGGAAACUGCCUGAUGGAGGGGGAUAACUACUGGAAACGGUAGCUAAUACCGCAUACCAUCAGAUGUGCCCCGAUGGGAUUAGCUAGUAGUGUGGGGAAUGGCUCACCUAGGCGACGAUCCCUAGGUGGGCUGAGAGGAUGACCAGCAACCCUGGAACGGAGACACGGUCCGGACUCCUACGGGAGGCAGCAGUGGGGAAGAUUGUACAAUGGGCGCAAGCCUGAUGCAGCCAUGCCGCGUGUGUGAAGAGGGCCUUCGGGUUGUAAAGCACUUUCAGCGGGGAGGCGUUACCCGAAGAAGAAGCAACGGCUAACUCCGUGCCAGCAGCCGCGGUAAUAC
rnacentral:rRNA from 1 species